rnacentral:rRNA from 1 species
GACGAACGCUGGCGGCGUGCCUAACACAUGCAAGUCGAACGGUGAAGCGCCUUCCUUUUUGGUGGGUGUGGAUGAGUGGCGAACGGGGGGGUAACACGUGAGGAACCUGCCCCUUUCUUCUGGAUAACCGCAUGAAAGUGUGGCUAAUACGGGAUAUUCUGUGUCUGUCGCAUGAUGGGUUUGGGAAAGAUUUUGUUUCGGUGUGGGAUGGGGUCGCGGCCUAUCUGGUUGUUGGUGGGGGGAUGGCCUACCAAGGCGGUGACGGGUAGCCGGCAUGAGAGGAUGGGCGAUAACAGUACGGCUGCACGGCCCAGAAUACUACGGCAGGCAGCAGUAGGGAAGAAUAUUGAAAGGGGGGAAGAAGGCUGAAGCAGCGACGCGGGGGGAAAGAUGGAGGUCGUCGGGUAGAGCACCUCUGUUGGGAAAGAAGCAGGCCUGCCUCGUUUGUGGGUGGGUUGACGGUAGCUGGAUAAGAAGCGCCGGCUAACUACGUG